GACGGAGGUGGCGAGCGUUAUUCGGAAUCACUGGGCAUAAAGGGCACGUAGGCUGUUUGACAGGUCAAGGGUGAAAUCCCCCGGCUUAACCGGGGAACUGCCUUUGAAACCGUCAGACUAGAGCGGAAAAGGGGAGAGAGGAACUCGCAGUGGAGCGGUGAAAUGCGUAGAUAUUGCGAGGAACGCCGGUGGCGAAAGCGUCUCUCUGGUUUCUUGCUGACGCUGAGGUGCGAAAGCUAGGGGAGCGAACGGGAUUAGAUACCCCAGUA
rnacentral:rRNA from 1 species